rnacentral:rRNA from 1 species
AUUGAACGCUGGCGGCAGGCCUAACACAUGCAAGUCGAACGGUAACAGGAAGCAGCUUGCUGCUUUGCUGACGAGUGGCGGACGGGUGAGUAAUGUCUGGGAAACUGCCCGAUGGAGGGGGAUAACUACUGGAAACGGUAGCUAAUACCGCAUAACGUCGCAAGACCAAAGAGGGGGACCUUAGGGCCUCUUGCCUUCGGAUGUGCCCAGAUGGGAUUAGCUAGUAGGUGGGGUAACGGCUCACCUAGGCGCCGAUCCCUAGCUGGUCUGAGAGGAUGACCAGCCACACUGGAACUGAGACACGGUCCAAACCCCUACGGGAGGCAGCAGUGGGGAAUAUUGCACAAUGGGCGCAAGCCUGAUGCAGCCAUGCGGCGUGUAUGAAGAAGGCCUUCGGGUGGUAAAGUACUUUCAGCGGGGAGGAAGGGAGUAAAGUUAAGACCUUUGCUCAUUGACGUUACCCGCAGAAGAAGCACCGGCAAACUCCGU